AAGACUAUACUUUCAGGGAUCAUUUCUAUAGUUCGUUACUAGAGAAGUUUCUCUGACUGUGUAGAGCACCCGAAACCACGAGGAGGAGGCGUAGCAUUUUCCCCUGAGCGUGAAGCCGGCUCUUAGNGUUGCUUUNUGCAACUGCUAUUUGCCNUUGAUGAUCGUUCUUCUCUCCCUUUGGGNGAGUNAGAGGGGGAGAAUGCAGUCUGAGUGNU
rnacentral:snoRNA from 1 species